UUGGAUUGCUCUCUGACAUGCCAAUCCCA
rnacentral:piRNA from 1 species